rnacentral:tRNA from 1 species
UCAUAAAAAGUAAAAUUUACAUUUAGUUUCGACCUAAAAAUUUGAUUAUAUUAUAAUCUUUAUGUU